rnacentral:misc_RNA from 1 species
UUUCCGUAGGUGAACCUGCGGAAGGAUCAUUAUCAUGUAAUUCAGUCCCCUUGGCUGUGUUAUAUAUAUACCCACUCUGUGUACCUUCUCCUGUUGCUUCCGCUGGGUGUGUAAUUCGCCCGGCGGAAGGGUAAAAAUAACCUCUGAGUAUUGAUGAAAUCUCUGUCUGAACCGAAUAGAAAGAAAAAUGUUAAAACUUUCAGCAACGGAUCUCUUGGUUCUCGCAUCGGUGAAGAACGCAGC